UGGUGCGGGUCGGCUGUGUAAAACCGCUCCUGAUGGGUCUCCUCAGCACAUUUAAUGAGGCCUGGGCUCCCUGUGUUCCCUAGACGACACGACUCCCUGCAAAACCUGGAGAGGAAGCACAUCCUGCUGAGCCACAAUCCACUCUCUGACUCACCGCCUGGCCGUACAGAUUCAGCAGGAUGGCCCGUGGCGUCUGACUUGUGAACCGUGGCCCAGGCGGGCAGGAAGCGCGUCAUGGCUCUAACUGGAACCAGAUGUCAGAGGCUGCUGGGGAUUCUCACAGUGGAACAUGCUCGUCAAAAGGAAACUUCUUCUUUCUCUCUCUUGCUCUCUGUUUCUUUCUCUCUUUCUAUGCAGCCAUCAAAGACCCUGCUUGUUUGGGUGCUGAUUGAUCAGUAGAAGAUGACAGUCACCACCACAUACAUGUUCAGCAGGAAGGAGAGAGAGAGAUAUUGUGAGAUUAGUCCACUGACGUACAUGGCGAGGUAACUGGACAAACUGGUAACAGCGGGA
rnacentral:lncRNA from 1 species